UGGGGAAUUUUGGACAAUGGGGGAAACCCUGAUCCAGCCAUCCCGCGUGUGCGAUGAAGGCCUUCGGGUUGUAAAGCACUUUUGGCAGGAAAGAAACGUCAUGGGUUAAUACCCCGUGAAACUGACGGUACCUGCAGAAUAAGCACCGGCUAACUACGUGCCAGCAGCCGCGGUAAUACGUAGGGUGCAAGCGUUAAUCGGAAUUACUGGGCGUAAAGCGUGCGCAGGCGGUUCGGAAAGAAAGAUGUGAAAUCCCAGAGCUCAACUUUGGAACUGCAUUUUUAACUACCGGGCUAGAGUGUGUCAGAGGGAGGUGGAAUUCCGAGUGUAGCAGUGAAAUGCGUAGAUAUGCGGAGGAACACCGAUGGCGAAGGCAGCCUCCUGGGAUAACACUGACGCUCAUGCACGAAAGCGUGGGGAGCAAACAGG
rnacentral:rRNA from 1 species